UACGAAGGGGGCUAGCGUUGCUCGGAAUCACUGGGCGUAAAGCGCACGUAGGCGGGUCUUUAAGUCGGGGGUGAAAUCCUGGAGCUCAACUCCAGAACUGCCUUCGAUACUGAGGAUCUCGAGUCCGGGAGAGGUGAGUGGAACUCCGAGUGUAGAGGUGAAAUUCGUAGAUAUUCGGAAGAACACCAGUGGCGGAGGCGGCUCACUGGCCCGGUACUGACGCUGAGGUGCGAAAGCGUGGGGAGCAAACAGG
rnacentral:rRNA from 1 species